AUACGGAGGAUCCGAGCGUUAUCCGGAUUUAUUGGGUUUAAAGGGAGCGUAGGCGGACGCUUAAGUCAGUUGUGAAAGUUUGCGGCUCAACCGUAAAAUUGCAGUUGAUACUGGGUGUCUUGAGUACAGUAGAGGCAGGCGGAAUUCGGGGGGUAGCGGGGGAAUGCUUAGAUAUCACGAAGAACUCCGAUUGCGAAGGCAGCCUGCUGGACUGUAACUGACGCUGAUGCUCGAAAGUGUGGGUAUCAAACAGGAUUAGAUACCCUGGUAGUCCACACAGUAAACGAUGAAUACUCGCUGUUUGCGAUAUACAGUAAGCGGCCAAGCGAAAGCGUUAAGUAUUCCACCUGGGGAGUACGCCGGCAACGGUGAAACUCAAAUGAAUUGACGGGG
rnacentral:rRNA from 1 species